rnacentral:lncRNA from 1 species
GUUAUCAUUCUUGAAUGGCAAAAUUUGGAAAUAGACAUGCACACAUGGAGAGCAUUAUGUGACUAUGAAGGCAGGGAUCGUGGCGAUGUUCCUACCCGCCAAAGAACAUCAAAAAUUGCCAGCAAAUCACCAGAAGUCAGGGGGCGAAGCGAAUAGCAGAUUCUUUUCAGUAGCAACUGACUCUGCUAACACCUUGGUCUGGAACUUCUAGUGUGUAAAAGUGUGAGACAACACAUUUCUGUUGUUUAAGACACACAAUCUGUGGUACUUUGAUACAGCAGCCCUGACAAACUAAUACAUGGGGUGUCUCAUUGUAGUUUUAAUCAGUAACACCCAUUAUGAACUGAAAACGUCUGCUACUUUUAAGAUCCAACUUGAAUGCUUCCUGAUUAAAUAUAUACAGGAGUGAUUUCAGAGGAAUUUAAGUUUUGGAUCAUUCUUUUGAGAAAGAAAGAAAAGUACCCUUUUAAAAGAGGUGGCUCUUGAACAACACAGGUUUGAACUGCAUCAUUCCACUUAUACACAGACUUUCUUCUGCCACUGCCACUCCUGAGACAACAUGACCAAUCUCUCCCCUUCCUCCUCCUCAGCGUACUUUCAACAUAAAGACGACGAGGAUAAAGGCAUUUAUGAUGAACUACUUCCACAUAAUGAAUAAUUGAACAAAGGAGAGAAUUGUGAGAGUGAGAAAAAGUGAGACAAAGAAGAAAAACUAUAAAUCAGCAAAAUACAGUGCCAAGAGCUCUGGACCACAAAUCAGAAGACCUGAGCCCUAAUUCCUUUCCAGUCAUUGGAUUUGUUCGUCGCUUGCCAAAAUAGCAGCGAACUCUCUGUCAAACUGCAACUCAUUUUAUCGGAGCAAAAACUGAACAAAGAACUGCUAUCAUUUCUGAGAAUUGAAAAGUACUUUCACAGUUUGUGCAUUACCAAUUCCACCUUUGCAAAUACCACUUCCCAGAGCUGAUGAGAACACCGAAGAACAGAGGCCAGUUGGAGUCAUGGAACCGUCGAGGUGCAGAAUCAGAAUUUGAACCCCAAUAACCUGUCCACAGAGUCAGCUCUCUUAACCUCCAUGCCAUCUCUUAGCCAAUUAACAUUUCUGAAAUUUUUCAUAACUGAAAAAUGAGGAUAAUAGCACCUUCCUUAUUGUCAGAGGCAGUGCAGCUUGUGUUACAACUCAAAAGAGUAAUACUCUGAAAAAAGAAAAAAAAAGAUGGCGCUGAAAAUAAACAUGUUCAGCAGCCAUUGUGAUUCAACUUACCCAGAUGUGCUUUUCAUGAGAUGGAGAAGGACGGAUGGAAAAGAAAAGCACACAAAUGUUAAUGGAUACAGUUCAAUCCAAAGAAAACCAUGGAAUAAAACAAGAGCAUUAUUUAAGAUGUGAGAAAGCUCAGAAGUGUCAAGGCUAUGUUAAUAGUAAGAAAGAUUCUGUCAAGAAUAAAUAUUCUUCAGUGAAAGACCAUUGUGAGUAAUUGGCAAGUAAGUUUUAAUUAACAUAAAAAAAUAGGUUAUGUUACCAUCUAAUGAAUGAGAUCAGAUCCAAUUAUUGACAUUAUGUUUUCCUUGCCAACAUCAGCAUAUAUUCAGUCAGGAGAAGAAGAAAUGACCAGCAAACAUAUGUCUUAUAUUUCAAAAUGAGAGCCUUCAACUUUUCAGUUUCCUCACCUUGAUCUUCCAGAUCUCCUACAAUUGAAUGAACCUUCUUCUGUUAUAAACUAGUCAAUUCUGG